AACGCUAGCUACAGGCUUAACACAUGCAAGUCCAGGGGAAACGAUAUUGGAAGCUUGCUUCCGAUAGGCGUCGACCGGCGCACGGGUGAGUAACGCGUAUCCAACCUGCCCACCACUUGGGGAUAACCUUGCGAAAGUAAGACUAAUACCCAAUGACGUCUCUAGAAGACAUCUGAAAGAGAUUAAAGAUUUAUCGGUGAUGGAUGGGGAUGCGUCUGAUUAGCUUGUUGGCGGGGUAACGGCCCACCAAGGCGACGAUCAGUAGGGGUUCUGAGAGGAAGGUCCCCCACAUUGGAACUGAGACACGGUCCAAACUCCUACGGGAGGCAGCAGUGAGGAAUAUUGGUCAAUGGGCGAGAGCCUGAACCAGCCAAGUAGCGUGCAGGAAGACGGCCCUAUGGGUUGUAAACUGCUUUUAUAAGGGAAUAAAGUGAGAGUCGUGACUCUUUUUGCAUGUACCUUAUGAAUAAGGACCGGCUAAUUCCGUGCCAGCAGCCGCGGUAAUACGGAGGAUCCGAGCGUUAUCCGGAUUUAUUGGGUUUAAAGGGAGCGUAGGUGGAUUGUUAAGUCAGUUGUGAAAGUUUGCGGCUCAACCGUAAAAUUGCAGUUGAAACUGGCAGUCUUGAGUACAGUAGAGGUGGGCGGAAUUCGUGGUGUAGCGGUGAAAUGCUUAGAUAUCACGAAGAACUCCGAUUG
rnacentral:rRNA from 1 species